CUUUAACUGACGAGUCUCAAAUGGGACGAAACACACGUCCUAGAU
rnacentral:hammerhead_ribozyme from 1 species